AAGGAGCAACGUCGAGUCUGAUGAAGGGAGAAGACUUGGAAGCUAGCAUUUCUAAUGGAAUAGUGAAUAACAGUGGUGAUGAUGGACAUCCAUUUUUCACCCCUGAGCUGAUUGGAAAGGCUUCUAGUUUAUAUUCAUUACAGGUAAUGCUUGUUGAUAGUUUUAAAUAAAUACUACUUAUCAUUUAAGGAAAGCUCCAUUUGUUUUUAAUAGGAAUGAGUAUUGUAUAUUGUCAAAAACUUUUCCACAUCUAUUGAGAUAAUCACAUAAUUUUUGUCCUUUUUGUUAUUGGUAUGGUCACUUACGCUGAUAGUUUUCCUAACAUUGAACCAACCCUGCAUUCCUAGUA
rnacentral:lncRNA from 1 species